rnacentral:rRNA from 1 species
AUGGCUAUAGAAAUAGAAUCAUCUAAGUUGAGAAGAAUUACUAAUGAUUUUUCGGACACCCAAAAAGUUGGUGGUGGCUAUGGAGACGUUUACAAGGCAGUCUACAAUGGGGAAGCCAUGGCAGUGAAGUUGCUUCAUGCGACCAAAGGAAUUGAUGACAAACAAUUCAUGAAGGGACUCCGUAACCAUAUGAAGGUCCAACAUCCAAACAUUGUACGUCUAGUUGGGUAUUGCAAUGAAGAGACCAAGAAAUAUGUUGAGCUACCUGAUGGCACGUCUGUUUUUGGUAGACACAUAUACAAGGUGCUCUGCUUUGAAUAUAUGGUUGGUAGAAGCUUAGAUAAGCGUCUGCCAGGAGUUUCUCUAGGAGAUGAAUGGCGCACACAUUACCAAAUAAUAAAGGGGACUUGUGAAGGUUUGUUUUAUCUUCACAAUGGAUGUGAAAAUCGGAUCCUCCACUUGGAUCUAAAGCCUGCCAAUGUAUUACUUGACAAGAGCAUGAAACCGAAAAUUGCGGAUUUGGAUUGUCAAGGAUCUACACUGCAAGCCGUAGCCAUAUCAAAGUUGAUUCAGUUUCAGGGACAACGAAUAACAUGCCACCUGAAUCAAUACACGGGAGCGAGAUGUCAGACAAGACUGAUGUCUAUGGUUUAG